rnacentral:rRNA from 1 species
GAUGAACGCUGGCGGCGUGCCUAAUACAUGCGAGUCGAGCGAACGGACGAGAAGCUUGCUUCUCUGAUGUUAGCGGCGGACGGGUGAGUAACACGUGGAUAACCUACCUAUAAGACUGGGAUAACUUCGGGAAACCGGAGCUAAUACCGGAUAAUAUUUUGAACCGCAUGGUUCAAAAGUAAAAGACGGUCUUGCUGUCACUUAUAGAUGGAUCCGCGCUGCAUUAGCUAGUUGGUAAGGUAACGGCUUACCAAGGCAACGAUGCAUAGCCGACCUGAGAGGGUGAUCGGCCACACUGGAACUGAGACACGGUCCAGACUCCUACGGGAGGCAGCAGUAGGGAAUCUGCCGCAAUGGGCGAAAGCCUGACGGAGCAACGCCGCGUGAGUGAUGAAGGUCUUCGGAUCGUAAAACUCUGUUAUUAGGGAAGAACAUAUGUGUAAGUAACUGUGCACAUCUUGACGGUACCUAAUCAGAAAGCCACGGCUAACUACGUG